rnacentral:rRNA from 1 species
GAUGAACGCUGGCGGCGUGCCUAAUACAUGCCAGUCGAGCGAACAGAUGAGGAGCUUGCUCCUCUGACGUUAGCGGCGGACGGGUGAGUAACACGUGGAUAACCUACCUAUAAGACUGGGAUAACUUCGGGAAACCGGAGCUAAUACCGGACAAUAUAUUGAACCGCAUGGUUCAAUAGUGAAAGACGGUUUUGCUGUCACUUAUAGAUGGAUCCGCGCCGCAUUAGCUAGUUGGUAAGGUAACGGCUUACCAAGGCAACGAUGCGUAGCCGACCUGAGAGGGUGAUCGGCCACACUGGAACUGAGACACGGUCCAGACUCCUACGGGAGGCAGCAGUAGGGAAUCUUCCGCAAUGGGCGAAAGCUUGACGGAGCAACGCCGCGUGAGUGAUGAAGGUCUUCGGAUCGUAAAACUCUGUUAUUAGGGAAGAACAAAUGUGUAAGUAACUAUGCACGUCUUGACGGUACCUAAUCAGAAAGCCACGGCUAACUACGUG